UUGCACAGGACUCUUGCUCUUUCUCUCUCAUUCUCCUCCUCUUCUUCGUCCUCCUUACCCCCUUUCCUUCUCCUUCCUCCUCUCUCUUCAUCCCUAUAGCUCUUACCCUUCAAGGGCAUAGGAACUUAUUAAAGAUGAAUUUACAACUUACCUAGAAGAGUACCCUUCUGGCUGCUGAAAAUGCCACAGAGCCUUCUGGACUACAGUAGAAAGGCCCCUUCUUCAGUUACGCCCACAGAGCAAUUGAACCAGAGCCAGACAUCUGAACUUCUCUCAAGAAGGAAAAACAAAACAAAACAGCCACCAGCACAAUUACCCUGACACUACCCUCUCUUCCCAUCUCUCCCACUUCGCUCCAGUUAUCCAGUCCCUCCUUCUCCUCUCAAUAAAACGAAUGAAUGUAAUAAAGAGUUUUAAAACAGAA